GUAAGAGUUGACCCCAUGAGGAAAACGUGAGCCAUGUCCUGUUUUAGGCUCUGAGCCUCCCAGAUCACUUUCGUGAAUCACCCCUUCAGUAAUUUAGUUGAGUGUUGCAAACUGAUCUAUGUUUCAGAUGGUUUGCCAUUUUCCUUGGCCCCUGAUCAACUGAUUCCCUCCCUUUUUUACAGAUCUUCUUCUGUAAAAGGCCAUCUUUAAAUGUCAGCAACAGAGGGUGACAGGAUAAGGUGCUUCAGUCAGAGACACUCUUCUUUUCUCCUCUUUGCAGUAUUAUUUUCUCCCCCCCACGCUCAACUUUUAACUACCCCUCCCUGGGGAAAGGAGUCAAGGGAGACAAGUCGUGACCAGAGACCGGGGAACUGAGCGCUCAGGCUGUGUCCUGCAGAGGCAGCAGAGCGAGAAUGGGCCAAGCCGAGUCCCAGAGUGACGGGUGGGUUAACGGCAGCAGGCAAUCCUGAGUUCCAGAGCGACACAUGGGAACUCCCGAGUCCUGGAACAACAGUGGCAGGGGAAUCCCGAAUCCCAGAGCAACAGCAGAAGGGGAAUCUCGGGUCCCGGUUGAAGUCAAUCCCAGUACACGAGCAAAAAAUCAAAAGCAAGUGCUGCGGGUGAUAUUUCUACCUUUACAACUUGAUGGCCUCCAUGGAACUUUAAGCAAGACUCUUAAAUGAGUCUUUGCAGUUCAAUUGCACUUCCGUGCAGCCCUUUGGAUGAAAAGGUGUUCCUGAUGGAGAAAUAGAAUUUCAGGCCUGCUGCUGACGAAUAGGGAGGAAUGUGUCAUACCUUCCCACAUUAUGGUAAACUACAGCACUUGAAGAACAACUUCUAUGUUGGAUUUUGUGCUGUGAAGAAUUAAAUUGAUAUUCACAUUUCCUCUGUUGAGAACGGACCAAAGCAACUGAGUAUGAAAAGUAUCGGGCCAGUUCAUCUGAGCAUCCAUUCAUAAUCACAUGCUGGCAUUAUUCCACUGUGUUUUAGGGUACAGUUAUGCAAUUAUUUUGAUAUUGCUCCAAAACUAUUUAUCUAUCUUGGCAAUGAUCUGACACAUGAGACAAUAUAACUUCAGUGUCACAUGUUGAUGUGCAGGAGUAUAAAUAAAUGACAGGUAAUAAAAUGAACAUCAAUCUGGUCUCAUGGUUGUGAAAUUUAAAGCAUCCAGAUGAGACAGAUUCUAUACCUAUUCAUUUCAACCCCUGUUCUUCCCUUCAACAACCACAUUAUCUCAUGGGAGGAGCAGGAAAGGGCAAAAGAAAAGCACCAAGAACAGAAAUGAAGAUAUCUGGAAAAUACCUCACCGA